rnacentral:lncRNA from 1 species
CUGCCGCCCGGGGAUCCUGAGCCCGCGGGGCGCUCACCCUUCUCCUUGGUCAUGAUGGAGAUGAGCGGCAUCCGCGGGCGGUCACUGAACACUUCAGCCUGCUGCACUAGCGCCUCGCGCACGCUGUGGAAGUCGCUGAGGACCACCACCAGACGGUGGCCGAUGAAGAAACUGAAAAUGUUGCCAUAGACACGGGCCAUCCUGGCCAGGUAUACAUGCUGGCCCACCGUGUCCGUCUGGCUGCCCGAGCCCAGCCAGAACUGUGGUCGUAGAAAGCGCGGCACCAGCAAGUGCCCGAAGUUACCCACGAGUGGCCGAGGCUUGGGCCCCGGAGGGAUGCCGCAGGCGCGUUGCCGCCGCAGCCAAACCCAGCCUAGCAGCACCGCCAGCACGCAAAGCAGCAGCGCGCCUCCUGUCGCCCGCACGUGCAGUCUAGCUCCCGGCUGCUCCCCUGCCGCGGGACGCUGGCACCCGAGCGAGGACAUGCCCCAGGUACCGCCUGCAUCUAGCUCCGCUGCAGACGCGCCGGCACCGGCGACAGUAGCCGGCUACAGGACUCGAAGGUCAACCGCGAGGCGGGGCAAGGAACGCCCUUCCGAUUGGCUGCGCCGCGUGCCCCUCUCGGGAUCCUCCAGUCAGCUGCUCCUGCAUAAGAAGUCAGCUGUCAUGUUGGUGAAGUAUCUGAGACUGCUUAAAAACUGAACAAGUCAGGAUGGACUCCUGGGUCUGAGACAAAGGGCUUUAUUAUAGUACAUGGACACGGUAGCAGCCCAUGUGAGCUUGUCACUUUGGACUCCCUAGUCCUCCAAGGUCCACACUGAGGAACACUGAGGAAGUCAAGGUGGAUGUUACAUAGGUAUUGCCUGCAUCUCCACUGAGUAACUCUGAACUUGCAUCCCUGUCAUGCCCAACAAAUAUAGACUAAGAGGGAUGCUGAGGGCCCAUGGUAGGAUGCAUUUGAAUGAAACAAAAUCUAGGCCUAACUGCCCAUAGAAAUAAUUACCUUCGUGUUUCCUGGACCGUAAUGCUGGUGAGUGAUCUGAACUUUUCAAUAUAUGAGUCGGCAGCUGCGUUAGUUCUUUUUCUGUUGCCAUGUUACAAUACCAUGACCAAGGCAACUUAGAGAAGAAAGGAUUUGAUUGACAGUUCCAGAGGGGUAAGAGUAUGUCAUGGGGAAACAUGGGAGCAAGCCGCAGGCAUGGAAGCAGGGGCAGAAAGCUGAGGGCUCAUCUUGAACUGCAAGCAUGAAGCAGAGAGUGAACUAGAAAUGUACGUUUUUAACUCUGGAAGCCCACCCCAUGCGCCAUGCCUCAGCUCCAAUAAGGCCACAGCUCCUGAGCCUCUCCAAACACACCACCAACUGGGGGCCGUGGGUUCAAAUGCCCACGAUGGGGAACAUGUCAUUCAACAGAGGUUAUCAGUAAGUUGGCACUGCAUCUCAACAGCAGGACUGCAUCUAUCAGCAGCUCUGGUGAUACGCACACGCUGACACUCAGGUACCUGGUGGACAAAGCUCGGUUUGCUGUCUUCCUAUCUCUCAGGAGAUAAAAAUGUCAGGUUGAAUAUCAUCACAGCGCUCCAUCACCUCUAGACAGAAUGGCUUCAUUAUCUGCAGUGAAUGAAGGCUCUUUGUAAGCCCGUGACCACAGCGAUCUCUGAACAGAACACCCUAUAAUCUCAGAGCUGAGCCCACUGUUAAAACAGGCACAGAGGCGACACUGUUCCACUCCCCAGUGUGGUGGGGAUAGGUUGUAAAAUUCUGCCAGUGACACUAGUGGAGACUUUGAUCCACGGUCGCUGUCUAGUCCUCGUGAUGGGACUCGCAGGCACACUAUGACUCUAAAAUCAGUAACUGAAACACAAGCCUCUCACCCAGCAUGGGUGGCAAUCAACUUUUCUACGACCACUCUCAUUUUCGUUUUAUUUUCGUUAUUGCUCAGGAGCCUUGCACACGGUUCGGGCAUGUGAAGCGUCCCCUUGGCUCUGCAAUGGAGGCAGCUUAGGGAGUGAGCAGGGGCCCCAGAACAGGCCACUCCUUCCCUCAAGCACUUCUUAAAGCACUGGGAGAACUUGAUGCUUUCACAGGAAGCCCUGUGAGCUUCCUACCAAGAAAACAAGAGGACCAAUCAGCCUGUUUGGUGGAAGCUCUGGACUGUGCUUAGUUCAAUGGACCAUUCACAUCAGUACCACACAUUGUAGACAAGCACAGGGUGAGGCUGAGGCUGAGACUGCCACAGCAGUUGGCCUGUGAUCUGGAAAGGACGCCAUCACUGGGAUGAGCUUCCCUGCCACCCUGGCAGAUAGGACACAGGCUCUCUGUGGACCUUUGCUCUGUCACUUUCAGAAGGCACAGGGAUAAAGGCUGCACCACACCCAGCAACCCCAUCUCUGAGCCCUUUGUCUUACCUAGCUCCGCCCACCCCAUUGGGCUGCUUUUAUGUAGUCAUUUCAACUUCAUCAGGGAGUCCAAAUGUAGCCUUCUGAAGCCUGCCUUGGACAUGGCUAGGGGUCCACUUGAGGUCAUUACACAGAGGAUCCUGCUGUGACAUUUCCUGCAGAACUUGGGGGCCAGGAAAGAACCUCCUUGUAUUGAGGGAUUAGUGAGCUUGCUUCUGUCAAGAGCAAUAAUCAUAAACUUGGAUUGUAUAACUGAUUUUUUUCAUCCAUAAAUGUCCUAAUUUUUUAACCUUAAAAUUUAUUGGUAGAAAAAUAAUAAAUUUUAGUUUACUU